UUUUAUGGAGAGUUUGAUCCUGGCUCAGGAUGAACGCUGGCGGCGUGCCUAAUACAUGCAAGUCGAGCGAACGGACGAGAAGCUUGCUUUUCUGAUGUUAGCGGCGGACGGGUGAGUAACACGUGGAUAACCUACCUAUAAGACUGGGAUAACUUCGGGAAACCGGAGCUAAUACCGGAUAAUAUUUUGAACCGCAUGGUUCAAAAGUGAAAGACGGUCUUGCUGUCACUUAUAGAUGGAUCCGCGCUGCAUUAGCUAGUUGGUAAGGUAACGGCUUACCAAGGCAACGAUGCAUAGCCGACCUGAGA
rnacentral:rRNA from 1 species